rnacentral:tRNA from 1 species
NGCGGGGUGGAGCAGUUGGCAGCUCGUCGGGCUCAUAACCCGAAGGUCGUAGGUUCAAGUCCUGCCUCCGCAACCA